rnacentral:misc_RNA from 1 species
AAUAACCGAAUAAACGAUCCAGAUGCAAACAUCCAGGAUCUGGACGGUUGAGAUUCUCGAAAAACAGUUAUAUUGACAAAAGUGCUAAUCUAUUGACCAUCAAUGGUCAAACCAAAGGAAUUACAUAUAGACCAACGGCGGAGAUCGUUUUGGAUAAGAAAGUGAAGGGAGAAAGACACGAGUAACUGUAAAGUUAAACGUCGUGAGUAGUUUUGUUCUUUUCAUUACCUUGCAGCCAUUGAUGAAUUCUUG